rnacentral:rRNA from 1 species
GACGAACGCUGGCGGCGUGCUUAACACAUGCAAGUCGAACGGAAAGGCCCUGCUUUUUGGGGGUGCUCGAGUGGGGAGCGGGAGGGUAACACGCGAGUAACCAGCCCUUCACUGUGGGAUAACUUAAGGAAACAGCGGCUAAUACCUGAUACGAACUACUGCUGCAUGGGGGCGGUCGGAAAGUGUCGGCGGUUGGGGAUGUACUCGCGGCUGAUCAGCCAGUUAGUGAGGUAGUGGCUCACCAAGGCUUUGACGGGUAGCCGGCCUGAGAGGGUGACCGGCCACAUAGGGACUGGGAUACCGCCAAGACUGCAACGGGCGGCAGCGGUGGAGAAUAUUCCGCAAGGGGCGGAAGCCUGAUGCAGCGACUCCGCGUGCGGGAUGACGGCCUUCGGGGUGUAAACCGCUUUCGCCUGUGACGAAGCGUGAGUGACGGUAAUGGGUAAAGAAGCAACGGCUAACUACGUG